CCUGGGCAUGCCCAGCUCAUUCUUCCUAUGCUCACCUGUAGUGGUGGCAACACUGCCUCCCACAGUGUCUGGGGUGGGGCACCGCAGUGGCUGUCCCCAUCCUUGGCUGGCAGCAGCAUGGCACCUACCUCUGAGCCAGAUGAAGCUGGGGUUGGAGAUGGAGUUGUCAUCUUGUGACCUCAAAGCAACCAGCAUGAUAACAAAAGCCAGCACACCACAGACGGCAGAAUGGAAAGGCAGUAAGAAUCUGGGUCCGGUCUCUCACAAGGUUGUUGAGUCACUACACCAGUCCUGGAAUGCUGAUCUCUGGAGAACUUGUUAGACAGUCUUCCCACCACCUUGUUCCGAGGCUCUGGGUGAGUGUUCCAGAAGCUGACGAGAUGCAGGAUCGUCUCCCUCACACACACAAAUGCCAUGGCAACAGCAACUCCGUGACAACAGCAAAGAAAGCCAGACUGGAAUUUGCCAACCCAGAGUGUUGACCAUCUGUGAGGCCAAACCCUCCAAAUGUUGCCCGUUCUAAGUGCUCAUCUCAACCAGGCUUUUGUACAUAGCAGAGGCGACAUUUAAGUGACAUAAGAAUAAACAUUGGGCACAUGUGAAAUCCCUUUAAAGUGUGCAUUUUUCUGCCCCAAUGUGACUGAGAUGAUGACACAAUGAAGAAAAAGGGGGGACUAGGUUUGAGUGAGUGGGCAUGGUAGAUUUCAGUAAUAGGAAAUUUAGACCGUCCAUAGGGGAGGAGCUCUCCAUAGAAAAAACGGCCCAGUUAGUUUAUAUCUAUGCUUCCAUUUUCAAGUCCAACAAUCUUUUAGAAGUUUACCUUCCCCAAGGCAAAACAUUGUGUGUAUAUAUAUAUAUAUUUUUUUUGCUUUUUUUGAGACAGGGUCUUCCCCUGUCACCCAGGCUGGAGUGCAGUGGUGCAAACAUGGCUCACUGCAGCCUCGACCUCCUGGGCUCAAGCCAUCCUCCUGCCUCAGCCUCCCUAGUAGCUGGGACUAUAGGCGUGCACUAUCAUGCCCGGCUAAUUUUUAAUUUUUUGUAGAGACAGGGUUUUGGCAUGUUGCCUGGCCUCAAACUCCUGAGCUCAAGCCAUCCUCCUGCUUUUGUAUCCCAAACUUGUGGGAUUAUAGGCAUGAUCCACUACAUCCGGCCAAAGAUUUGUGAAUAGUUCCAUCAAAGGCCCCAAUAAAUUUAACCCUCUGGGUCUUGAGUUUCCAUGGGUCUCCUUUUGUUCUUAUAAUAACAGUGAUAACAUCUGGUAGGAACUGUGCCAAAUCCUUCAUAUGUAUUUUCUCACUUACUCUUUGUAACAAACUUAGGAGGAGGUACGGCGAUUACUGUUGGCCCUCCAUAUCUGCGGGGAUUUGUGGGUUGGGUUCUACCAACUGUGGAUUGAAAAUAUUUGGGGGAAAAAAAUCCACAAUGAAAAAUAACAAUAAAACAAUAAAA
rnacentral:lncRNA from 10 species